ACGGGUGAGUAAUGUAUCGGAACGUGCCUAGUAGCGGGGGAUAACUACGCGAAAGCGUAAUUAAUACCGCAUACGCCCUACGGGGGAAAGCAGGGGAUCGCAAGACCUUGCACUAUUAGAGCGGCCGAUAUCGGAUUAGCUAGUUGGUGGGGUAAUGGCUCACCAAGGCGACGAUCCGUAGCUGGUUUGAGAGGACGACCAGCCACACUGGGACUGAGACACGGCCCAGACUCCUACGGGAGGCAGCAGUGGGGAAUUUUGGACAAUGGGGGAAACCCUGAUCCAGCCAUCCCGCGUGUGCGAUGAAGGCCUUCGGGUUGUAAAGCACUUUUGGCAGGAAAGAAACGUCCUGGGCUAAUACCCCGGGAAACUGACGGUACCUGCAGAAUAAGCACCGGCUAACUACGUGCCAGCAGCCGCGGUAAUACGUAGGGUGCAAGCGUUAAUCGGAAUUACUGGGCGUAAAGCGUGCGCAGGCGGUUCGGAAAGACAGAUGUGAAAUCCCAGAGCUUAACUUGGGAACUGCAUUUGUUAACUACCGCGCUAGAGUGUGUCAGAGGGAGGUGGAAUUCCGCGU
rnacentral:rRNA from 1 species